rnacentral:rRNA from 1 species
GAUGAACGCUGGCGGCGUGCCUAAUACAUGCAAGUCGAGCGAACGGACGAGAAGCUUGCUUUUCUGAUGUUAGCGGCGGACGGGUGAGUAACACGUGGAUAACCUACCUAUAAGACUGGGAUAACUUCGGGAAACCGGAGCUAAUACCGGAUGAUAUUUUGAACCGCAUGGUUCAAAAGUGAAAGACGGUCUUGCUGUCACUUAUAGAUGGAUCCGCGCUGCAUUAGCUAGUUGGUAAGGUAACGGCUUACCAAGGCAACGAUGCAUAGCCGACCUGAGGGGGGGUCGGCCACAUGAGAAGGUGAGCACCGUCCAUGCUACUGAGGGAAGGACCAGUCGGGAAUGGUACGCAAUGGGGGGAAGUCUUGCGGAGGCAGCGCGGGGGUGUUGAUGAAGUGCUGCGAGUGGGAAAACGCUGUUCUAGGGGAAAACCGCUUUGGAAUGUAACGUUGCCAUUGUGACGGUAACCAAUAAAGAAGCCCCGGCUAACUACGUG